AAUCACCCAGGCACACUCACAGAGCUCAAGAGGAACAUGCAGUGUUUUGGAGACUGUCUUUAGUCCACAUGUCAACCACAAUUAGGUCCUCUAGAAUCCAAGGACUUCCUUUUGAAUGUUCCACUUUGAUCAGCUCCCAGCCAAGUGCUUCACUGGAUGUAAAAGUCUUCAGCUGGAGUGGAGAGUCAGCCUCACUUGCAGCUCUCAAGGGCAGCCCAGAAAAUCUUCCUGUGCUUGAAGUUUCCUUCACUGGCCACAGCACAAUCCACAGCCCAUCAGUCCCUGUGCUCUGCAGGGCAGGAGGAUGCCAGACCAACCUUUUCUGACACCUGAGGUCUUGUGCUGGUCCUGCAGGAUAGAGCAGCUGAGAUGUCCCUCUAAAGGACACCACGUGGAGAUAAAGAUGCCCUGAUGCUGCUGGAGCUGGGGCAUUACAGGAAGAAGGUUGGGAGGUCCACUCUAAAUUUCAUUAAAUGCAGCGCAGAGGGCAGAGCUUCAGGGGGAAAGACACAACACAAAAUUAUAUUUGGAUUCUUUCUUUUAAGUUUGUAAACUGUUUCUUUAGACAUUAUUCAAAUAUUUGCAUGAGAGCCAUAGACAGCAUU